CGAGGUCCUAAAGCCGGUAGCUCGUCAACACCACUGGUUCUGGGAUUGUGUAGCAGAGUCACGGGUGCUGCGUGAAAUAAACAGGAGGGCAGACGCUGGCAGAGCCGCUGUGUUUUGAUGUACGUGUGUGGGCGUGACGCCGUGUUGUGUGCAAAAAGUGUCUGCUGGGCACUGUUACCAUAGCAGAGAGGGCAGUUAUUCUCCAGAAGCCAUCAGCCACAGUGUAGUAGCCAUCUUGAAAAGGCAGUGCGUCGCCCCAAUCGCCCUUAUGGACAAGCCGCCCCUGUCCAGAUGUACUGUUGAGUGUCGGCCCUGAAGAUGCAUCACAACACAAGUGUCCACAGAAGGGUGGGAGAGAGGAAGAAGGGCGAUGCUGCAAACGGUAGUCAAAGUCUGUAAAUGGCCCAACAAUCCUUCACAACCAAUAUGCACCUUUUUGAAGUGGGUCCAUUCCAGACUCCCAAGCAGAUGGAAUUCCGCAGGCUGAAUCCAGUCAUUACAAAGCAAUAUUUCAACCAUCAAAAAUGGAUGGAAGGAUGUCAUUCUCAGGAGUAAAUGGAUCAAUUCAAGCCCAGCUUUAAAAAACACUCACCCUGCUGCACCUCCUUUCACCCAAUAGGGAGGCAGCCAAGGCAGACAGCAUUUCAAUGAGUUCUGCAAAACACAAUGCAAGCUGUAUGAACAGUCUGUUCAACAUGUUUGUAGAAGGUCAAAUAAAAAACAGA
ensembl:lncRNA